AUAUGGCGUCUGACUUCGAAUCAGAAGAUUGAGGGUUCGAGUCCCUCUGU
rnacentral:tRNA from 1 species